GCAUUGACAAUCCCUAGGUAGACUGUAAAACCUAGAAUUGAUUUGGCUCAAUCUGUGAUUAAAUUACAAUAAUCAGUUUUUAUUUAGCACAAGAAAGAAUAUACUCUUCUUGAAGGAAUAAAAUCCCUGGAGUCGUUAUCAGAAGUAAGUAAUGGAAACAGAACCCCAAAAGAUCCAGAUAUUUGUAUUAGCAAGGGACAUUUAGGUAAUUUUCAAAUAUCCAAGGAAAUAAAGGAAAAGAAACAGAAAUUAUAUAAAUGGAGAAUUUCACAAGGUAAUGAGGAUCUUUUGGAGGAAAAAGAAGAAACAAGUGUAAACCAUAAAACUGAAAAAUAAAUUGAGAACACAAUAGAUAAAUUUGAUAGCAAAUAAAACAAAUUGAAAGAUUAGAGAUGCCACUUAAAAAUAUCUGUACUGAAUCAGAGAUAGAAAAAUACUUAAGAAAUAUAGAUAUGUAGAUAUCUAAGUUGGUAUUCCUUGCCUUACAAGGACCUGAGUAUGACCCCUAGACCUCACGUUAGAAUCAACCAGCUAUAGUGGUAGCACACUUGCAAUCCCAGUGCUGCCGGGCAGGGCGGGCGAGACAGGCAGAUGCCUAGGGCCUGGCCAGCUAGCCUAGCCUAUGUCCUGACUUCCAAGCAAGUAAGACUUUCAGGUUGCUCUCUGUUGCUGUUGUAAAGACCAUGACAGAGCAGUUUUAGAGAGGAAAAAUAUCUGUACUGAAUCAGAGAUAGAAAAAUAUUUAAGAAAUAUAGAUAUGUAGAUAUUGGCUUCGUGUUCCAAUUACAUUUCAGUCCAUCUUUGAGGGAGGUCAGGGCAAGAACUCAAGGGCGAGAGCAGAGGCAGAGCCAUGGAGGACACUCCUUACUAACCUGCUCCCAUGAGUUGCUGAUCCUGCUCCCUCUCGCCACUCAGGACGGCCUGCCCAGGGCCACCUCCACCCACAGCACUCCAAGGUCUUUGCCCAUAGAUUUGCCUACAGGCUAAUCUGAUUGGGGCAUUUUUAAAUUGAGGUCCCUCUUCCCAGAUAACUCUAGUUUGUGUCCUGUUGCUGGUGAGGUGGGGGCACAAAACAAAACAAAAACAACCAGCACAAAGACCCAGUCCUAAAAUAAAUACAACAACAAAAAUAGGCAAAGCCCUCAUCAGGAGUCUCCCGGCUUCAGCAGGCCUGGCACUUCCGGCUUCUGCGGGCACCCACACUCAUGUGUACGUAUCAUCCAUAUAAUUUAAAUGGGUUAGGUUCUUGGCAUGUGGGAGCAGCACUCGAGGCUGUCCUCCCCCUCUGCGUGCACUCAUCCUCCUGUGCAGCAAAAAGAAAUGUUUAAAAACUUCAGGUGAUAGUUUGAAUCCACUGUGAUAGUGUAAGACAAUUUCAGCCCAUCCUACAUCUAUUUGCUAUAAAUAAUAGAAAGUAUAUAAAAACAACUAAAAAUUCUGCAAAGUAAGAAAGAACUGAUGAAGUCCAAGGAAGGACCCCCACAGAGACAAGUUUCCUAUUCUCUCUUCCAAUACCUCCUGACCCCAAGGGCAGUUAAGUGGACCAUCAUAGCUCUAAAAACUAAAGUCAUGGGGUUGGGGAUUUAGCUCAGUGGUAAAGUGCUUGCCUAGCAAGCCCAAGGCCCUGGGUUCGGUCCUCAGCUCCGGAAAAAAGAAAAAAAGAAAAAAAAGAAAAAAAAGAAAAAAAAAAAAAACUAAAGUCAUAGGAGAGCCCAUAUUUUAUGUAAAAAAGAAUCAGGAAAGAGGCCUCUGUAGGCUAAAGAGUUUGAAGGGAAUCCUAUUUAAGUCUCAGCAUAAUUCUUAAUUUACACACAUAAGAGAUAGAUGCAGACUUACAGAGAAGACUGAGUUAAAAAUCUUCCGACAAAGAACAAAACACAAAAACACAACCUGAAUACAAUUUAAUAUUGGGCUAAAACUAAAGCAUCCAUAUUCAAAAUAUUAUUACAGGAUUCAUGCUACACAAAGCUAAUAUUCACAAUAGCCAAGGUGAGAGGGUGAUGGUGAUGGUGAUGGUGAUGAUGGUGAUGGUGAUGGUGAUGAUAUAGAUGAGCAUGGUGGCAUGUGCCUGUAAUCCCAUGGGAUAGAGAGUCAGAGGAAUCUGGAGGCUGAGGUCAUCCUCAGCUACAGUAUAUAGUGAUUUCAGUGCUAGCCUGGGCUACAUGAAACCGUCCCUCAUAAAGGCUGUUGGAAAGAACCAGAAAGGCUAGGCAUAGUAGUGCACACCUUUUAGUUCCAGUGAUCAGGAGUCUGAGGAAAGAUUAUCCUUAGGUGUAGACUAAGGGGAGUUGUCCUCUGACUUCCACUUCUGUACAUAUCAUAAGCAAACGGCUAACAACCAAAGCCAGCCAUACAAAAACAACUGAGGCUGUACAGGUAAACCUUGGC
rnacentral:lncRNA from 1 species